CCAAGUGACGAACUUGCAAACGUAAGCUUUUUAAUGGUCGGCGCGUUUCUUUUAUUCGAUUCGAAAGGGAAAAACACGGUAGAAAUUGGCAUUUUGAGUUACAUGAGGACACACACAUUCAUGUAGAGACAUACUGAAGUUUAAUAACGAAUAUUGGACCUUUCCAAGGAUCAUCCAGACAUCAAACCAGACAUCAGUUCAUCGCCAAUUAUUUUGAAGCCUACCGUAUAGGACCUGUCCUGUUCUGUUGGCAAUUCAAGUGCAUUAGUGCUGGUUGCUGUUUACUGCCAUUUUAUGGACGAGCAUGUGGUCCAAAAGAGAGAAGAAGAAAAGAACAACACCAGGGU